GAUGAUGGUCAGAGCAGAAGGAGGAGGUUCUCCUUGCGGAGUGACCAGGUCUCCUGGAGUGAAUAUGCUGAGGUCUCGUCUUGGAGUUCUUGCAAACGUGGUAGCUUCAAAAAGAGGGAGGUCGCUGUCGGAUAUGGAUGGGAGUCCCCCUUCACAGAAAAAUGCCAAGUCUACGCCGAGGUCGCCAUCUACGCCGAGGUCGCCAUCUACGCUGAGGUCGCCAUCUAUGCCGAGGUCGCCAUCUUCAUCGAGGUCGCCAUCUCUGGUGACUUCUCCGUUGGGUGGUUCAAGAACAACUCAUUCACGCGGACGUAAAGUA